rnacentral:sRNA from 1 species
CCCUAUCCCCGAUUGUAGUGAAAAUCCUUUUUAUUUUUAAAAAAAAGAAAAAGAUUGCAACGGAAAGCGGUAUUAAGC